UAGGGAGUAUUAGAAAUGGCCGAAAGUCUGAUCUAGCAACACCGCGUGUGCGAAGAAGGCCUUCGGGUCGUAAAGCACUUUUUGGAAGGAAUAGGAAGGAAUGUACUUCCAGAAUAAGUCUCGGCUAACUACGUGCCAGCAGCCGCGGUAACACGUAGGAGGCAAACGUUAUCCGGAUUUACUGGGCGUAAAGCGCGUGUAGGUGGUACUGUAAGUAGGGCGUGAAAGCUCCUGGCUCAACUGGGAGAGGCCGUUCUAAACUACAGAACUAGAGGAUGGUAGAGGGAGGUGGAAUUCCAGGUGUAGCGGUGGAAUGUGCAGGUAUCUGGAGGAACACCGGUGGCGAAGGCGGCCUCCUGGACCAUUCCUGACACUCAGACGCGAAAGCUAGGGUAGCAAACGG
rnacentral:rRNA from 1 species